AGGGGACCUGAGAGGAGGGGACCCGAGAGGAGGGGACCUGAGAGGAGACCCUCAGCCACUUGUACAAAACAGGCUGUAUCCUCUGAUCCUGUGGAAAAAGAAAUUCAAUG